rnacentral:rRNA from 1 species
UACGUAGGGUGCAAGCGUUGUCCGGAAUUAUUGGGCGUAAAGAGCUCGUAGGCGGUCUGUCGCGUCCGCUGUGAAAACUCGGGGCUUAACCCCGGGCCUGCAGUGGGUACGGGCAGACUAGAGUGCGGUAGGGGAGACUGGAAUUCCUGGUGUGGCGGUGAAAUGCGCAGAUAUCAGGAGGAACACCGGUGGCGAAGGCGGGUCUCUGGGCCGUAACUGACGCUGAGGAGCGAAAGCAUGGGGAGCGAACAGG